GGCUCAGGAUGAACGCUAGCGGCAGGCUUAACACAUGCAAGUCGAGGGGCAUCGGGAGUAGCAAUACUUGCCGGCGACCGGCGCAAGGGUGCGUAACGCGUGAGCAACAUGCCCGUAUCAGGGGGAUAAUCCAUGGAAACGUGGUCUAAUACCCCAUAGUAAUUAUGUAAGGCAUCUUAUAUAAUUUUAAAGCUUUGGUGGAUACGGAUUGGCUCGCGUGACAUUAGCUGGAUGGUAAGGUAACGGCUUACCAUGGCUACGAUGUCUAGGGGUUCUGAGAGGAAGGUCCCCCACACUGGAACUGAGACACGGUCCAGACUCCUACGGGAGGCAGCAGUGAGGAAUAUUGGACAAUGGAUGGAAAUCUGAUCCAGCCAUGCCGCGUGCAAGGAAGACGGCCCUAUGGGUUGUAAACUGCUUUUGUAUGGGAGCAAUAAGGGCUACGUGUAGUCCGAUGAGAGUACCAUACGAAUAAGCACCGGCUAACUCCGUGCCAGCCGCGGC
rnacentral:rRNA from 1 species